GAUGAACGCUAGCGGCAGGCUUAAUACAUGCAAGUCGAGGGACAGCACAGGUAGCAAUACUGGGUGGUAACCGGCAAACGGGUGCGGAACACGUACACAACCUUCCUUUAAGUGGGGGAUAGCCCAGAGAAAUUUGGAUUAAUACCCCGUAAUAUAGUUGAAUGGCAUCAUUUGAUUAUUAUAGCUACGGCGCUUAAUGAUGGGUGUGCGGCUGAUUAGAUAGUUGGCGGGGUAACGGCCCACCAAGUCUACGAUCAGUAGCUGAUGUGAGAGCAUGAUCAGCCACACGGGAACUGGGACACGGGCACGACUCCUACGGGAGGCAGCAGUAAGGAAUAUUGGUCAAUGGACGCAAGUCUGAACCAGCCAUGCCGCGUGAAGGAUUAAGGUCCUCUGGAUUGUAAACUUCUUUUAUUUGGGACGAAAAAGGGCCUUUCUAGGUCAACUGACGGUACCUGAAGAAUAAGCACCGGCUAACUACGUGCCAGCCGCCGCCGUAAUAC
rnacentral:rRNA from 1 species